rnacentral:lncRNA from 1 species
UGACCUAGAAGUGCGCCGCCGCGUUGCUGCUGGGAAGUUGCUGUACAGAACACUGCCGUGUGGGAAAGGCCCAGCAGCCUCCUGCUCCUCCUCUCUCCUUACAGAGCAACAGGGCUUUUUCUUGUUUUUCUUUUUUCAAAAGUGGCCUUUGGGCUCUGCUGUGUGCCCUGGGGUAUGACGUGGCAUGGGGGAGCAAGCAGUCCAGGGGACCUCUUGGAAACAGCAUUAGGCUUUUUCCCUUUUCAGUAACAUUGUUCGGAACUACUUGUCAAUGUGUUUGAGGUGUUGAGAGGCAAAGGCUGGGACUCUAAGGUCCUCCCCACCUCUCAAACUCUUUCUCUCAGACUUUCCCUACAGCUCCCAUGGCCUCUACACUGAUUUCUGUCAACAGUCGGCCUUCUCUCCACCUGUGAGAGGUGGAGGCAGUCCUGGCUGAGACUUGUGCCCUGCAGUGUGGUUGCCAGAAAAUGUUGUUGCUAACCCACCAGUUUCUUGUUCUGGGAGCUCAAAGCCAGGCCCCCAGUUGGCUUGAAGGGACAUUUUCAGUUUUCUUUGUGUCACUUGGGGUAUCAGUAGCUCUCAUGCUUCCCUAAUAAACUCAACUUUGUCUGACUGCUGUGACUGUGGUGGCAAGAGUGGCUGGAGAGGGUCUCCUUGUUGAGAGUCUGGUGGGCAAGAGUGCUCUCCAGCAGAAGAAACCUGCAGCCCUAGCUGGUUCAAAGCCUAGGCGGCUCUCCAGUCAGUGUUCCUGUCUGGACACUUGAACUAGUUCAGUCUGGAAUUACUUGGUCUUUCAGCAGAUAACUACCAAGGACUUUUACUAUAUAGGUGUGUUAGACUCCAAUAAAAGAUACAGUAUUGAAUC